rnacentral:rRNA from 1 species
AGCUCUAGCAGCGUAUAUUUAUAUUGCUGCGUUUAAAAAGCUCGUAGUUGAAGCGUCAGACGCGGGAGGGCGGACGGCCGCACUGGUCGCUCUCGCCCGACCGAGCCAGGCGCAGAGGGCGCGCGUCGCUUGCACUUCACCGUGUGAGCGCGCCGCCGCUGCACGUUCACCUUGAAGAAAUUGAACCGCUUAGAGGGGGCGAGCAGCUUGAACAGCUCAGCAUGGUAUGAUGGAACAUGGGCUCGUACUCAUUUUGUUGGUUAGAGAGUCGGCGAGCCAAUGAUUAACAGGGACUGCCGGGGGCAUUAGUACUCGGACGGGAGAGGUGAAAUUCAAGGAUCGUCCGAAGACUCCCUACUGCGAAAGCAUUUGCCAAGAAUGUUUUCAUUAAUCAAGAACG